CUCUUCCGGCGCGUGCGCGAGCGCUUCCCCGGCGCCCAGCACGAGAAUGUACCGUUCAUCGCCGUCACCAGCUUCCUGUGCCUGCGCUUCUUCUCUCCCGCCAUCAUGUCGCCCAAGCUCUUCCACCUGCGGGAGCGCCACGCGGACGCCCGCACCAGCCGCACCCUGCUCCUGUUGGCCAAGGCAGUCCAGAACGUGGGCAACAUGGACACGCCGGCUUCCAGGGCCAAGGAGGCUUGGAUGGAGCCGCUGCAGCCCACCGUGCGCCAGGGCGUGGCGCAGCUGAAGGACUUCAUCACCAAGCUCGUGGACAUCGAGGAGAAGGACGAGCUGGACCUGCAGCGGACGCUGAGUUUGCAGGCGCCACCUGUGAAGGAGGGGCCACUCUUCAUCCACAGGACCAAGGGCAAGGGCCCCCUCAUGUCCUCCUCCUUCAAGAAGCUCUACUUCUCCCUCACUACCGAGGCCCUCAGCUUCGCGAAGACGCCCAGCUCCAAGAAAAGCGCCCUCAUCAAGUUAGCCAACAUCCGGGCAGCAGAAAAGGUUGAGGAAAAGAACUUUGGCAGCUCGCACGUCAUGCAGGUCAUCUACACGGACGACGCCGGCAGGCCCCAGACUGCCUACCUGCAGUGCAAGUGUGUGAAUGAGCUUAACCAGUGGCUGUCUGUGCUGCGGAAGGUGAGCAUCAACAACACCGGACUGCUGGGCUCCUACCACCCUGGCAUCUUCUGUGGGGACAAGUGGAGCUGCUGCCACCAAAAAGAGAAGACAGGUCAGGGCUGCGAUAAGACCCGGUCACGGGUGACCCUGCAGGAGUGGAAUGACCCUCUUGACCAUGACCUUGAGGCCCAGCUCAUCUACCGGCACCUGCUGGGCGUGGAGGCCAUGCUGUGGGAGAGGCACCGGGAGCUGAGCGGGGGUGCAGAGGCAGGCACGGUGCCCACGAGCCCUGGCAAAGUCCCCGAGGACUCAUUGGCCCGGCUGCUCCGGGUGCUGCAGGACCUCCGCGAGGCCCAUAGCUCCAGCCCGGCCGGCUCCCCACCCUCAGAGCCCAACUGCCUCCUGGAGCUGCAGACGUGAGGCCCGCCCUACGCUCCCUUGCUGAGUCCCCUGCCAAGCGCUCGGAGCCCCUCCAGGACACUCUGCACCCCCUCACCCCGGUCCUCCUCAUUAGGGUGCAGGGCCUAGGUCUCUUCCAAGUGGGGGAGGGGGGAGAGUCAGGAAUAAGGGGAUCCCCAGAAGUGCAGAGCUGAGCAGGCUUGGGCCUGUCAUGGCUGGCCUGAAGUGUCCCCAGCUCCCUACAGCCGCUGUAGCCAUCACUGCCUCUCCAGGGACCCUCCUCUCCUGCCUAGGACAGACCCAGCCAGAACCACUGCUAGGAUGGGCCACACCCAGGGGUCUGGCCUCCAGGGACCUAGAGAAUGGGAGGGAGAACGGGGCCCCAGGAGACCCGGCCGCCACCCCACCCGCUACCCUUGGGUGCCACAGGGCUGUGCUGUUGCCAACAGUAAACCUGCUGUUACUGUC